rnacentral:rRNA from 1 species
UACAGAGGUCUCAAGCGUUGUUCGGAAUCACUGGGCGUAAAGCGCACGUAGGCGGCUUUCUAAGUCGGGGGUGAAAUCCUGGAGCUCAACUCCAGAACUGCCUUCGAUACUGGAAAGCUCGAGUCCGGGAGAGGUGAGUGGAACUGCGAGUGUAGAGGUGAAAUUCGUAGAUAUUCGCAAGAACACCAGUGGCGAAGGCGGCUCACUGGCCCGGUACUGACGCUGAGGUGCGAAAGCGUGGGGAGCAAACAGG